rnacentral:rRNA from 1 species
ACCUGCGGAGGGAUCAUUACACAACAAAAUAUGAAGGCCUGGCUUUCGCGGCCGGCUGAAGUAUUUUUUUCACCCAUGUCUUUUGCGCACUUGUUGUUUCCUGGGCGGGUUCGCCCGCCACCAGGACCAAACCAUAAACCUUUUUUUCUUAUGCAGUUUCCAUCAGCGUCAGUAAAAACAAUGUAAUUAUUACAACUUUCAACAACGGAUCUCUUGGUUCUGGCAUCGAUGAAGAACGCAGCGAAAUGCGAUACGUAGUGUGAAUUGCAGAAUUCAGUGAAUCAUCGAAUCUUUGAACGCACAUUGCGCCCUUUGGUAUUCCAAAGGGCAUGCCUGUUCGAGCGUCAUUUGUACCUUCAAGCUUUGCUUGGUGUUGGGCGUUUUUUUGUCUCCCUCUUUCUGGGAGACUCGCCUUAAAACGAUUGGCAGCCGGCCUACUGGUUUCGGAGCGCAGCACAUUUUUUGCGCUUUGUAUCAGGAGAAAAGGACGGUACUCCAUCAAGACUCUACAUUUUUCACUUUUGACCUCGGAUCAGGUAGGGAUACCCGCUGA